UACGUAGGGCGCAAGCGUUGUCCGGAUUUACUGGGCGUAAAGAGCGCGCAGGCGGUCGAUCAAGUCGAGUGUGAAAGCCCCCGGCUCAACUGGGGAGGGUCAUUCGAUACUGAUCGACUCGAAGGCAGGAGAGGGUAGUGGAAUUCCCGGUGUAGUGGUGAAAUGCGUAGAUAUCGGGAGGAACACCAGUGGCGAAGGCGACUACCUGGCCUGUUCUUGACGCUGAGGCGCGAAAGCUAGGGGAGCAAACGGG
rnacentral:rRNA from 1 species